rnacentral:rRNA from 1 species
UACGUAGGGUGCGAGCGUUGUCCGGAAUUACUGGGCGUAAAGAGCUCGUAGGUGGUUUGUCGCGUUGUUCGUGAAAACCGGGGGCUUAACCCUCGGCGUGCGGGCGAUACGGGCAGACUGGAGUACUGCAGGGGAGACUGGAAUUCCUGGUGUAGCGGUGGAAUGCGCAGAUAUCAGGAGGAACACCGGUGGCGAAGGCGGGUCUCUGGGCA